GUCAUCAUGAGUCAUCCGCUUAUAUUAUGUUCUUAUUGUUGUAGAUUAACUAUACACAUGGCAUCCUCAUUUUCACUUAGAGAUAUCCUAGAUGCAAACAAGUUGACUGGACCUAACUAUGUCGACUGGUUAAGAAACUUGAGAAUUAUUCUCACUCAGGAGAAAGUCUCCUACAUUCUGGAUACACCUGCUCCAGUUUCUCUUGAGAAAGAUGCUUCC
rnacentral:lncRNA from 1 species